rnacentral:ncRNA from 1 species
AAAACAAGUGUUGUGUUGAAACAACCGAUUUCAUAAAUUUGCUUUCCGAGUAGCCCCUGUUGAAGGGGCUUUUUUCUUUCC